rnacentral:rRNA from 1 species
AUGGCGUCCUCUCUCCCAUCCUCGUCGUCGUCUUUACCCAAAGCCGACGACGAGGCAGCAUCCAACCAAGAAAUUUACGACCAACUCCGAGAGGUCGUGUCCACGUACCCGGCGGCUCCGAGGCUUAGCGGCAUCGGCCGCCCAUACGUCCGCCACCCGGACGGCUGGUACGCGUUCACGCCGGGGGUGCUGAACGCCAUGGUGAUCAAACGGCACCUCGAGGCGCGCGACACCGACGUCCUCCUCGCCACGUUCCCCAAGUCUGGCACUACCUGGCUCAAGGCGCUCCUGUUCGUGGCCCUCCACCGCAACGCCGACGGGCGCGACCGUCUCGCGGCCCACAGCCCCCACCAGCUCGUCCCAUUCCUGGAGGCCCAGGUCUUCACCAACGGCCGGAUCCCCGACCUGAGCUCCCUCCCGGCGCCGCGGCUGCUGAUGACGCACGUCCCGUCCGUGCCGCUGCCGGAGUCCGUGGCCGCAUCCGGCUGCAAGGUGGUGUACCUGUGCCGGGACCCCAAGGACUGCCUCGUGUCGCUCUGGUACUUCUGGAAGGGGCUCGCGCCCGCACCGUGGGACCUGGGCGAGGCGUUCCGGCAGUUCUGCGACGGCGUGUCGCUGUUCGGGCCGUUCUGGGAGCACGCGCUGGGGUACUGGCGCUGGCACUUGGAGAGGCCGGCGCAGGUGCUGUUCCUGACCUACGAGGAGCUCGCCGCGGACACGCUCGGCCAGCUGAGGCGCCUCGCGGCGUUCGUCGGGCGCCCGUUCACGGCGGAGGAGCGGGAGGCGGGGGUGGACAGGGGGAUCGUGGAUGCCUGCGCCAUGGAGAGCCUGGCUGGGCUGGAGGUGAACCGGUCUGGGAAGGCCGACAUGGCCGAGUUGUCGGUGCCCAACAGCGUUUUCUUCAGGCGCGGCGUCGUCGGGGACUGGAAGAACCACCUGACGCCGGAGAUGGCGAGGAGGCUCGAUGAAAUCACCGAGAGCAAGUUCAGGGGCUCUGGCUUGGUGUUGCCACGGGCAACCACACAUCUGAAGAUCUGA